AGAGUUUGAUCAUGGCUCAGAUUGAACGCUGGCGGCAUGCCUUACACAUGCAAGUCGAACGGCAGCGCGGGAGCAAUCCUGGCGGCGAGUGGCGAACGGGUGAGUAAUACAUCGGAACGUGCCCAAUCGUGGGGGAUAACGCAGCGAAAGCUGUGCUAAUACCGCAUACGAUCUACGGAUGAAAGCAGGGGAUCGCAAGACCUUGCGCGAAUGGAGCGGCCGAUGGCAGAUUAGGUAGUUGGUGAGGUAAAGGCUCACCAAGCCUUCGAUCUGUAGCUGGUCUGAGAGGACGACCAGCCACACUGGGACUGAGACACGGCCCAGACUCCUACGGGAGGCAGCAGUGGGGAAUUUUGGACAAUGGGCGCAAGCCUGAUCCAGCCAUGCCGCGUGCAGGAUGAAGGCCUUCGGGUUGUAAACUGCUUUUGUACGGAACGAAACGGCCUUUUCUAAUAAAGAGGGCUAAUGACGGUACCGUAAGAAUAAGCACCGGCUAACUACGUGCCAGCAGCCCGCGGUAAUACGUAGGGUGCAAGCGUUAAUCGGAAUUACUGGGCGUAAAGCGUGCGCAGGCGGUGAUGUAAGACAGUUGUGAAAUCCCCGGGCUCAACCUGGGAACUGCAUCUGUGACUGCAUCGCUGGAGUACGGCAGAGGGGGAUGGAAU
rnacentral:rRNA from 1 species